rnacentral:rRNA from 1 species
AGUGAACGCUGGCGGCGUGCCUAACACAUGCAAGUCGAACGAUGAUGAUGGAGCUUGCUCUAUCUGAUUAGUGGCGCACGGGUGAGUAAUGCAUAGAUAAUGUGCCCCUUAGUUCGGGAUAGCCACUGGAAACGGUGAUUAAUACCGGAUACUCCUUCUUGUCUCAAGGCAAGUCGGGAAAGUCUUUCGCUAAGGGAGCAGUCUAUGUUCCAUCAGGUAGGUGGUGAGGUAAUGGCUCACCAAGCCUAUGACGGAUAUCUGGUUUGAGAGGAUGAUCAGACACACUGGAACUGAGACACGGUCCAGACUCCUACGGGAGGCAGCAGUGAGGAAUAUUGCACAAUGGAGGAAACUCUGAUGCAGCAACGCCGCGUGGAGGAUGACGCAUUUCGGUGUGUAAACUCCUUUUAUUAGGGAAGAUAAUGACGGUACCUAAUGAAUAAGCACCGGCUAACUCCGUGCCAGCCGCCGCUGUAA